UCGAAACAGAGGUUCUCGUUUGAUCACCGAAGUUAAGCAACAUCGAGCUUAGUCAGUACCCAGAUGGGUGACCGCUUGGAAAUACCAAGUGCUGUUAG